CGUGUGUGUGUGUGUGUGUGUGUGUGUGUGUGUGUGUGUGUGUGUGUGUGUGUGUGAAUGUGUAUGUGUGGUCGCGUGCGCGCGAAUACCAUUCUGGUAAUAAAGAAGUACAAAAAAUAAAAGAAAAUCAAAGAUAUAGUAGGAGAAUUAAAAUAAUGGGGAGGAGGAAUCAAAGAGUGUAAGCUUGUGAGAGAGUGAAAGAAAGAGUGAGGAAGAAAGAGUAGAAUGAAGGAGAGAGAAAAGGAUAGAGAGGAAGAGAAAGUGUGCGUAUAGAUAACAUACGAAGCACUUUUCUGUUUCGGAGCAGACAUACACACUGAAAAGUAUAUAUACAGACACCUACACAAAACAUACAUACAUAAGUGUAUGCCCAUACAACACACACAUACACAUAUAUUUGCAUCAAAACUAAAAGACAUAUACGCACGAUAAGGCAAGUUCUUGACCGAUACUCAUAUAUAUAUACAUAUAUAUCUAUACAUCCAUAUAUAUAUAUAUAUAUAUUUACAUGUAUUUAUAUAUAUGCCUACAUAGAUACACCAAUAUACGCCUUGACAUACACCGACACGCACAAAAUACACGUAAAUAAAUACAUACUUUUAUCAUCACAGUGGUUUAUAUGCAGAGAUACCCUUUAAAAAAAUGAGUAAAUACAAUAUACACGGAGCACCGACUGAUGAUUCGGGUUCGAAUCCAAGUGAAAGACGCAUCUUUCUUCGUAGAUGAGUCCAAUAACAGUCACUCACUGAGAUCAAUUGAAGCGCCCGGUUUCCCCUCUUCCAAAGCAAAAUAAAAGUUUGAAGACUUGUACCCAAGUUA
rnacentral:misc_RNA from 1 species